CCCUUUCUCCAAAUCCAGAGAUUUCUAAGGUCUCUGGUCUCUGAUCUUGGCAGCAUUGAUGCAGAACAAUUUGAUAGCUUUGUGGAUAAUCCACCCGAAGAGAUGAACCAAGAUCUUGAAGGAAUUGAAAACAGACAUCGAGGACCUACCGAGGAUCCUGAACUUGGGAUCAUCUUCUCUAAUGAAAAGGGUAGUUUGAAGCUCUUUUUCCGAUUAAAACAGAAGCAUCGCUGCAAAACGGAGUUCCUUGAAAAGAUGAUCAAUCUUACUUUAAGGUCCAAUGCCUCUGCAGCUUUAAAGGUGAAGAUCAUUGAAGAACUAGAGUGGUGGGUUGCGGUUCGUAAGUGGAUCACGAGAGUAACAGACUUCGUGACAAACAAGAUCUGGACAUGAAUGUCUUUUUUGCAUUGAAAACUCUUGGUAAGUAAUUUAAAACCUCAUUUCCUUGGCUUUCUGUAUUAAGUUGUUCUUUGUGCAUCAAGUCAAAAAUCAGGGAUAAUCACUAAAAUAAUACAAACAGUAUGGUCCAUUUAACAAUGUGACCACUUUUUUUUGACCCUUCAAACAAAAUGACCAUCAAAUUUGGCAAUAGGGUCAACUGUGAAUUGCAAAUUGCUUUAUGGUCCUCUGAAAACCAAAAACUAUAAAAAAAUAACUAAGAGUAAAUUACAUUUUCGGUCCGAGUAUAGCUUAGCUGAUAUUUUCAAUUUUGUUCCCAAAAAGUUCUGCAGCUUUGAUCCUUAUUUGAUAUUCUUGUAACGUUUUUGGCCCUUUUCCAAAUAAAAUGACUAUUUUUGGUUGAGUAUAGCUAGUUUUUGCAUUUUGGUCCCAAAAGUAUUUGGAAUAGAGACAAAAAAACAUUACAAAAGCUUCAGAUAAGUACUAAAAUUGCAAGAGAAUUUUUUUUUUUGACCAAAAUUGAAAAAACUAGCUAUACUUAGGGACCAAAAAUUUAAAAUACUCAAUAAAUGCAUAAUUAAAAAAAACCAUAUUUUGAAACUGUAAUGCAAAUUGUUCACAUUUUGCAACAAAAAAAAGGUUAAAAAUUAAAGCUUUUUGCAGCCUUUGUCAGUAAAAGUAACUUCACAACUGACCAUUGUUGUGUGUAGGCUUGCUGAGAUUGGAAGAUAUUGAACAUGAUAUCGUGAGUUGGAAGUUUACAACAGAUUCAUGUUGAUGAAGUUUGAAGAAGGGUGGUGAAGUAUGAAAGCUUCCCAAAAAACCACAACCUUUAGAUCAACAUUAUGUUCUUCUCACAAAUUACUGUGAGUAUCAAAACUUCGUUAGAAAUCACUACCCUUAGAUAUAAUCAUCAUAUUCAUAGCCCUUUAAAUUAUUAAGUAUUUUCAAAGUUAUUGUCAAAUGUAUUGUCUUUCUUGGAAGUUCAUAUCUGUACUUUUCAAAGUUGAUUGUGAAGUCAUAUAAAAGGUUAAAAAAUCUUAUCAAAUUUGAAGUUAACUUUCUUGUUGUAUUCAUUUAGGUUGAGAGAGGUGUUUAAUCUUUUCUGAUGCUACAUGUUUAUUUGGGUUGUGAUAUACUGAUAUUGAUAGGUAUGGAUGGAAUUGAUAAGGAAAUCUGCAAAGGAUCAUAAUGUUUUGAAAAUGAGGAAAGUCACAGGUUGCAAAUCAAGAAGAUGAAGAGAAAUGUGUUAUGUAUGAGAAUGUAUGAAUUUGCACAAAGUUAAGGUAUUUUGUGUUUCUUUUUCAUUAAUGGAGUAUUUAAUUCUGCUGUUUUCUCAAAUUAAUAUAAAACAAAACAGAAUUAAAAGCUAAUUCCCUGUUUUCCUCAUAGUCCCUGUGGAAAUUGAAUCAUCUCAACAUCAUAAAGCUCAAGGAGAUUCUCAGGGAAUUCUUCAUAUUUUAAUCCAUGAUAUUCUUUAUAUAUUUAUAAUUAGAACUAUGAUGAUUAAAAAAAUAUUUUAUCUUAUAUCUUGUAUGAUCUGGCUAUUAAGAUAAUUUCGUUUUUUUUUUUCUAUAUUUAAGUUUUGUGUUUCUCUCGAUAAAAACCCGAUCAAUUUUCAUUCAAUGUGCUUCCCCGACCAUAUUAUCAUAUGUAUAUAUUUUUAAAGUAUUUUUUUUACUGCAUGGAAGAAAUAUUGGUUGCACCGAAGAAAAUACCAACCCUUAUAUAUAAAAAAAAAGUCACCAAUUCUCUCUUCUAUCAACAUAAAGAAAUAUCAAUACUCUCUCAAUUUGACUACAAAGGGAUCCCUCACGAAACACACCACCACUUCCUAACUCAAUAGUUUAUGAUAUUUUUCCAAACUGAAUAGCAACAAUAUUACCCAUGUAUGCAAUCGCCCCCACGCCACUAGGUUUAACACCAUGGGGUACACAAUUUACUUGCCAACAUAAAAUUAUUUCCAAAUCCUCCGGGAAUACAAAUCCUUAUAAUCACCCUUAGGCCAUUGGGUAUAGGUGGCUUGUUUGCACGUAAGGAUCGAUGUGGAGGGCUUGUUCAUGCGUGAACACCGCUCCACCAAGAGCAAGUGUGACGCUGAUUGAUGUUGGUCACGGACGAUUACGAGCCAUUUGAUUGGUUAACGUGUUUUUUUGACCGUUUGGUAUUAAUUUUAAAAAAAAAUAAUUAAUUUAAAACUUCACCUAUAUACAAACACAUAACCACACAUCAAAUAUCUUACAACAAAUACACUGGACAAUAACAAUAUGAAAUUUUUUUUGGGUGUCAUUUCUUCUUUAUCUAAUGAUGAUGAGUUGAUUCUGUACACGUUGUUAUUUACGACACAUGACUUUGUACGUCAGGGAGGCGAAAGUUCAAAUGUCGAGAAGAAACCAAGAAAGUCGAUCAACCGGGAUCAUAUUGUGGUGAACGAACUUUUGGUACGUGAUUACCUUAGCUCUGAUAGUUUAUACGACCUAUCAAAAUUUGAAGGUCGUUUUCGUAUUAGUAGAAAUGUAUUCCUACGUAUAGCUAGAGAUUUGAAAAACAAUUAUGAGUUUUUUCAAUUGAGAUGAGAUAUUAGAGGUAAACGUGAUUUUAGUACAUUACAAAAAUGCACGACAACUCUUAGACAAUUGGUGUACGGCAUAGUCGCAGACGCUUCAAAUGAAUAUUUGAAAAUGUCUGCGAGGGCCGGUUGAUAAUGCACAGAUCUUUUUUGUGAGUAUGUUAUAGAACUUUACGGUGACAUAUACUUGCGAAAUUCGAAAAAUGGUGUCGAACAGUUGUAUGCCGCACAUCAGGCUAAACAUGGAUUUCCAUGAAUGCUAGGUAACAUUAAUUGUACACAUUGGGUGUAGGAAAAUUGUCCCAAUGCAUGGCGAGGCCAACUCACGCAGGGUGUGAUGGGUUUUGGUCCUAAGAACAUCCUAUGUGCUCAUACAAACCCUAAUGCUUGGAUCUAGGUUUCUCUAUUGUACAUGCAAGUUAUCCAAGACUAUAAACCCUAAUUCUUUCAUUCAAGUAAUCAUAUUGAUCAUGAGAAUAGGUUUAUAAUAUUACCUUGAUUGUUAUGUAGCAAUAACAAUCCCAAAUCUCCUUGUAUUGACUUUGGAAGGCUUAGAGUCACAAGUGUCACUCCUCUAAUGGCUCACAAACACCAUAAGCAAGAGGAUGAAGAGGAGAGAGGAUGGAGGCUGCCCAAAACGUGUUCUAACCCUAGAAGAGAAGUUCCCCACGUUUUUGAGCCUUAAGGGGUCUAUAUAUAGUGAGGCAAUUAGGGUUAUCUAACAAGGAAACCCUAAUUUGGAUGCUUAAGCCCUAAGCAACCCAUGGAGCCCUUUCCAUAAGGCCUUGGACGAUUUCAUAUGGGCUUGCCCCAUAGAAUUCGUCCACCUUAUAAUAAAAGGCAAUCCAUGGCCCAAAUUGCAAUUAUCUUAUAAUUAUAAUUCCAGUCCCUUAAGUUUAAUUAAUCUCUUUUAGUCACAAAACUAAUUACCAAUUAAUUAUUGACUAAUAUUAAUUAAACAAUAUGAUUUCUCCUUUAAUAUAUUAUUCCCAUAAUAUAUUAAUAAAUCAUAUUUAAUCCUUUCUCUCCAUAAUUCAUCCUAUCAAGUUGCUUUGGUGAAGGCAACCCAAAAGGACCAUGCACCAUCGGGUCAAGUACAUACCAAAAUAGUUAUGGACUUAGACACUAAUCCAACAGUCUCCCACUUGGAUAAGUCUAAUAACUAUUCUGCGUAUGACUUCAGAUCCUGAUCUGCAAUCGUAGCUUUCCAAAGCCGCUGUCAACUCUGAUCCUAUCAGAUACGCGUGUCCUUAGAUAAGGGAUCAUAUAUUCCUCCAUUCUAGAUAUCAUAUGAGAUAUGAUUUCAAAUCAUUCUCUUUGUACUAUAUCUCGAUUCCCGAUUUAUGACGACUGACUAAUUGAACAAAUCAAAUUAGCCCUAGCCCGGCCGAGCAUUUACGUUUGUCAUCACUAAAUCAUCGAGGGGCCCAAAGAUAUCGCUUUUAUCCUACUUUGGAUAAAAGGAACGGAUAAACUUUGAUACAAUGCUUGCUUGCACUCACUCACCGAAUCACACACAACAAUAUGUUUUAUAACACCAAGUUACUAGUGCGUUUACAUAUUAUCAAUGUGCAACCGAUUUGCAAGAUACAACUCACACAUCUCGGUUUCAAGAAUAUAAGAUGUUAUCGUCUCACCAAUCACUCGUGAUACAAUUCAUGGAGUGAUCCAAGUGAGCGUGGGUUUAAUCCAAUGCUCAAAUCAUAUUCAUAAGCACUCAUGAACGUUGCAGCAAACAUUUGCUUAUGUCUAAUACUCUUUAGACAAUCCACACACCAAUUCACGACAGUCUUCAUUCAUACCUACUUCCAACAUAUGAACGACUGUGGCCCGUUUGAAUAAUUUGACUGUUCUUAACCAAUUAAAUUAUUCAGGAAGUCAAAACAUGCAAAGUGAAACACAAGAAUAAUACUAAUCCCAUAUGGCCUCAAACCUUUGAGUAUAAAUAAAACACCUUUUAUUUAUCACCAUAUCGAUUACUCAUUAUUUGUCGUUUCGGGUAAUCAACUUCUUACUUGAAUUAUUACACUUGUCCCAUGCUCCUAGCAUGCACACAAUGUUUACCUAUGGUUCUUACUUUGUGAAAUAGAUCAAAUUGAACACAUUUCCAAUCAUUCUCAUUUCACAACUCCAAAUCCUUUUUCAUAAGUGAAAGAAUAUCAAAUUCUUGCUACUUAUAGAAUAUGCUAGAUUCUAACAUUUUAUGCAAUGAUCCUUUCGUAAUGUCACUGCACCAAAGUCACAAAGACUAUUGCCAAUGAUAUUACAAAGUCCUCUAUCGGAGAUUGUUACAAGACAAUUCCUUAGAUAUGAUGUCUCUCACUCAAAGUACAUUCCUUUGAACAUCCUUUUGCAUAAAAGUUUCUAAUCUAGACAUAGAUUUUCAAUAUUCAAUUCCCAAUAUGGACACGUUUCCAUAUUUUCCAUAUGACAACUCAUUCUUAAUAGAAUCUUAUCUAUUCAUAAUAAUGUCGAUAUGGUCCAUCCAAUAUGGAAACAUUUCCAUAUUUUCCAAUACUAUACUUCCAACUACUCACAAGCGACCAAUCCUCGUCGAACUUUGGAUUGUCCUUUGAUAGUUGUUUAAUUAUUUUAGUCAAAACCGAUUCUAGUCCUUUUUCCCUCUAAAUGCGCUAGACAUUUGGAAAAUUUUAGAAUGGUCAAACAUUAAAGCAUUUGCAAUCGAUCCUAUACCCGAAGCGUAUGGGACACGACGCAUAAUGUUUUAUUUGCUAUGUUCUCAAAAUUCGAAUUGUGAAGAGGAAUGCCGUAAUCAUAAUCGAAAUUUUAAGAACACACUAUGUACCUUUGACUAAAUUUAUUAACAUUUCUCAACCUAAUCCUUUAGAUUUGAAAUGAAGCAUAAUAUUCUCUCCCUUAAUUAUAGCAAAACAACUUUUCAACCCUUACGACUUUGCAAAGUAUAACUCUUGUUUUCUAUAAUUAAUAUUGCCAACUUGCAAUACUUGCCUUAAUAAUCAUACAAUCAUAACAUUUAUGCUCCCACUAUCAUGAUGAUUAUUAUAAAACAUAACACUUAUGCUCCCACUAGCUUCGACAUGUAUUCAUAAACAUCUUAACUUUCAGAAAAACAAUACUUAUUGAAUUUCUUAAGUUCAUGUUUCUAAUACUUAGUGCUUUGAUAAUCUUUUAUCAAGGCUUCUUGAACUUAUACACCUUUGCCUUCGAUAGUUCAUAUGUGUGUCUAAACAAUUAAGACUAAUUGCCAAACCUCACAAUUCAAAUUAUGGAAAGGGAUGCCGUAACCAUAAUUGAAUUUGAGAAUGCAAUUUUACAAUCACUAUCUUCUUAAAAUCUUUCUUAGUGAAAGCAUUUCCUCACAAUCAUUUUCAUGAAGGAGGAAAUCUUAUGACACUUAGAUUUAAACGGUGUAUGUGUUCCUAUCCAUGUGAAUUUGUUAAAACCAAAGUUUACGACAAAUUCAAACUCAUAUGGACCGAACUUUCUUAAUCUUGAUUUCUUGCCUUAUGGUAGCACAGCUGCCCACCAUGUCUUCCAAGUAGUUAAGCAGCUCACCUUUUCCUAUCAAUGUACCUUUCAUUGAUUAAGGUGCUUUGCCUUUUAUGCGUUCAAAAUGAGAACUCAUAGAACUCACAUGCAUAAUUAACUCGAUUGGAUUGGCACAGAAACAAAAUAAUGUCAACACGAUAGGUUGUAAACCUCAACUCGUGUGCUAGUGAUGAUCGAUAAGGUUUAUUUGAUUUGUUCUUGAAACCUUUCAAGACCAUUAAGACUCCCACUGACUCCUUGACAUAUAAGAUUCUCUUGUCAAUAACCAUUUCUUGACAAACAAAUAUUCAAGAGUUAGUGUAGCUUUUAUCAAAACACUUCAUAAAUUGGUCCUAGUUGGUCUUUGUCUUAUCCAAGACAUCACAACUUUCCACAUUUAAUGAAUGUUAUAAACCUUCUUAAUACCUUUCACUCAAUGUCACAAUCUUAACUUUAAGACUUGUUAUUGGAACGAAGUAUGAUUGACUUAUUGAUUUAACCAUUUCUUCAAUUCUUGAUUCCUCUUCUUAGACAUACAAUUGUACUAAGACUCACUUAGAGGAUCAAUUGAGAUAUGGUUCUUAAUCAUUAAGACCUAUCAUAAAGCAUAAAAGGUACUCUCCCUUCUUCUUAGAAUGGAGAAACUUUUAUCUUUCUGCCUACUUGAUUCUUCUUAUUCGUUCUGCUAUUGAUUUAAACUUUUUCAAUCAAUUCAGAAUUACACUUAAUCUUAUAAGUAUAAUCAUAUUUACUAAACCUUUAGUAAAUCAUGACGAAUAUCUUUGUUACUCUUAUGGUGGACUUGAUCAACACGCAACUUUGUGUACUCGAUCUCCUAGUCCUUCACUUGACACUUUGUCAAUGAAUUAGUCUAAUUUCCAAAUAUGAAAUUUCUCAUUCAUCGUGCAACCAAGUUGCAUGAUUCCAAGUUUCUGUCCAAUUGAAACUUGGGCGAUGAGAAACUCUCCCUAUUUGGUAAAUUCUCGACUUUCCAUAAAUAACAUAAUAAGAACCAAAUCCAUUAUUGCUAAUAAUAGAAACAUUUUAACAUCAAUUUUUCAUACACGCCAUUGUAAGGAUAAAUAAAUAAAAUUUAAAAUCAAAAUUUAUUUUAUUGCGGAAAAAUUUUUUCUUACAAUGCAAUUCAUUGAAAAACUUAUGCUAAUACAUCUUUCUUAGCAAUCUAAUUCUAACUCUAAGUAGUAGCUCAAGAAUCUAAUCUUCGAGAAAUGCGAUCGAAAUCCAUUCCUUCACGGUUAGAUUCUGCUCACUUCUUCCCUUAAGCUUCCUUUCUUUUCUUCGAUCCUACAAAACAUCAAUUGUAAUCUUAUCACAUUAUGUAUUAAGAAUCUAGAAUAGAAGCUUAAAAGAGUUAGUUAAUGGAUUUUACCUAAAUCAGAGCCAUACGUUUUGACUCUCCCAUCUCUUAGAUCUCUUAGGUAAAUAGGGCAGCUUCGUCUCCAAUGCCCCUUCUCUUGGCAAUAAAAGCAAAUUGACUCUUUUGGAACAGGACAUGGAACUACUUCAGACAUCGCCUUUCUCUUAUGAUCAAACUUUUCGAUCAUAGCAUGUCUUUCGUUGCCAUUGUCUAUAUCCAUAGAGGUCUUGAAGGCAGAUUCACCAAUCAACUUUGCUUUUCUAUUGCGCCAAACCAUUGCUGAUUCAGCAGCAAUAAGCAUAUAGGUGAGAUCUAUAAGGGUCACGUCGCGGUUCAUCAUAUAGUACUCUCUUACGAACUCACUAUAUGAGUUAGGAAGUGACUGAAGAACCCAAUCAACAGCCAUUUCCUCACAGACAACGGAUCCCAACAUUCUUAACCUAUCAAUGUGUGACUUCAUCCCUAGGACGUGUGCACACACCGACUUUCCUUCUUUAUGUUUACUUGCCAAAAGGGCUUGAGUGAUCUUGAACUUUUCAAGCCUUUGAACUUGUGGGUUAGGGAGAAUAAUUGGAGGAGGUGGAGGAAGUGAAGCAUGAUUUCUUGUUCCUCGAUCGAAUCGUGGAAUAUCAUCUUCAUGUGGAAUGCUUGUUCCACGGGAUUUGGGAAGACCAUAGUUGUCGAACUUUGACAUCUACAAAACGGGAGAAAACGAAUUCAAGUUAGUUGAUUGAUUGAGUCCUUAGUAAAUCACCCAAAUGAGAUACUAAGGCUAGGACCCAACACAAUAUUCUACAACUCGGGAGAGGGAUGCCGUAACCCAAAUUGCAGAACAUUUGAAGGUAAGUGAAUGACGAUUCACUAAUUUCCACCAUGAAAAACGAAAAAGAAAUUUAAGUUUUAAAUCUAUGAAAACUCCUAGAUCCUUUGAGAUUCAUUGAACAUUUCAAUGGCAUGUUUAAAUCUCGAUAUGCCCCUCUUGUUUGUGACUGGGAUGCCGAGGAUCACAAAGCGGGUGUGAAUAACCAUGCAAACUUACAUGGUGCCCUCACAUGUUACAGUCACCUAUUCGAUGUGCCGGUAAACCACACACGCUCCACCGAACUAUGACAAACAUUGAGUCACCCUUUGCUACCUUUGCUUAGAACCAUUUAGUGUGCCGGUAAACCACACACGCUCCACUAACGUCUUCGCAAGGGCACAAAGUGUAAUUUCAUGGAAUUGCAUCAAUUCACUUUUGCCUAAGUAACUAAGAUUGGGAAUUUUAUGAAAACAUUUAGUUACUUUUAUACUUCAUUAUACUUAUAAUGGAAGGUUUCGUCCUAUCCUACCCGUUCGGCUAACGACCCUCCACUAGUCAAGAGUGCGGUGGGUAAGAGUGGAUACCCAUUCAAUCGCCAUUUUAUAGGCAAUUUCCUUAAACACCCCUUAUAGACCAGCUUCGUGAAUGAGGCCUACUAACGGUAAGACUGACUUUUACUCAUACAUAUAUAUAAUGUUAGACUUUUAAUGUUAUAUAUAGUAUAGGGUGUAUUUUACACUUUUAAAAUACUAGGUGGUCAAAUUUAACAAUUAUACUUUUAAUUCAAUUAAAUUGUAAACCAAAACUUUUAUGGAUUUAUUAAACCUCUUUUAAUUAUACACCUUAAUUAAUUAAUAAAACCAUAAGGGUGUGAUUUGAACUUUUUCAAAACAAUACUAGAGUUUUAGAAUUUAACAUUCCUAAUUAAACUUUUAAUCAACUUUUAAAUUCCAAAACUUGAGGGCAAGUUUUGAAACAUUUCAACACAUUAGGGUUUAGAAUUUAAAUAUACAUCAAAAUUAAACUAUUUAAUCAAAAUUUAAAUUCCAAAACUUGAGGGCAAGUUUUGAAACCUUUUUCAAAACAUUAGGGUUUCAACUAUUUAAAUUUCAAAACAACAAAACUUUUGGGUUCAAAUUUAAACUAUAAAACCUAAAGGGGAAAAUAUGAAACUUUUCAUAACAACAAGGAUCAAAUAACAAAUAAUCUAAAUUAACAUUUAAUCACAUAAUUAUCCAUAUUUGAUUUAUUUAAUGAUUUCUUGCAAAACAAUUUAUCAAUUUAAUCAAAAUAAUUAAUCAAUUAUCACAUAAGGAAACAAUUAUCUUAUUAAUUGAUAAAUAUCUUCAAUUAGAUCAAGAAUAUAGUCAAAUAUAUCAUAAAAUCGGAUUUAUAUUGAUCUAAUAUGAUAAGGUAACUAUCCAUAAGCAAAAACAGCAAGAAAUCCCGAGAUAUGCUCCAUCUGACGAGUUGACUCGUCGAGUCAAGCUUGGACUCGUCGAGUCUGCAUGGACUCGGCGAGUUCAGCUAUGGACUCGGCGAGUCCAGCCUCCAGAAACCCAAAAAACGAAUUUUCCAGUUAUACAAUGCAUCAAUACAAUUGAAACCAAGCUAGGCUCUGAUACCACUGAUGGGUUUUGGUCAUAAGACAUCCUAUGUGCUCAUACAAACCCUAAUGCUUGGAUCUAGGUUUCUCUAUUGUACAUGCUUUGAAUCCAAGACUAUAAACCCUAAUUCUAGCAUAUGGAAAUCAAUAUUAACAUAUAAUUAGGUUUAAGAUAUUACCUUGAUUGUUAUGUAGCAAUAACAAUCCCAAUUCCUCCUUGAAUUGACUUUGGAAGGCUUAGAGUCACAAGUGUCACUCCUCUAAUGGUUCACAAACACCAUAAGCAAGAGGAUGAAGAGGAGAGAGGAUGGAGGCUGCCCAAAACGUGUUCUAACCCUAGAAGAGAAGUUCCCCACGUUUUUGAGCCUUAAGGGGUCUAUAUAUAGUGAGGCAAUUAGGGUUAUCUAACAAGGAAACCCUAAUUUGGAUGCUUAAGCCCUAAGCAACCCAUGGAGCCCUUUCCAUAAGGCCUUGGACGAUUUCAUAUGGGCUUGCCCCAUAGAAUUCGUCCACCUUAUAAUAAAAGGCAAUCCAUGGCCCAAAUUGCAAUUAUCUUAUAAUUAUAAUUCCAGUCCCUUAAGUUUAAUUAAUCUCUUUUAGUUACAAAACUAAUUACCAAUUAAUUAUUGACUAAUAUUAAUUAAACAAUAUGAUUUCUCCUUUAAUAUAUUAUUCCCAUAAUAUAUUAAUAAAUCAUAUUUAAUCCUUUCUCUCCAUAAUUCAUCCUAUCAAGUUGCUUUGGUGAAGGCAACCCAAAAGGACCAUGCACCAUCGGGUCAAGUACAUACCAAAAUAGUUAUGAACUUAGACACUAAUCCAACAGGGUGAUCAUGAUGUACCUACUGUUAUACUAGAAGCAGUUGUUUCUCAGGACCUCUCGUUUUGGCAUGCAUUUUUUGGUAUGACAGGGUCAAACAACGACCUAAAUGUGCUUGGAGCAUCUCCGUUAUUUAACGACAUUUUGCAGGGUAAAUCACCAAACAUGCCAUACGUUGUAAAUGGACAUGAAUACAAUUAUGCAUAUUACUUUGGUGAUGGGAUAUAUCAAGAGUACGCUAUAUUUGUCAAGUCAUACACAUAUCCGACCGAUGAAAAAUGUAAAUUGUUCAAGUUAGCAUAUGAAUCUGCAAAGGAAGGAUGUGGAGCGGCCAUUCGGAGUAGGGGUGAGCAUUUGGACCCGUGAAUCGGACCGGACUAGACCGUUUUUUUGGACCCCAGGGCCGGUUCUCGGUUCUAGGAUUUCAGCAAAACCGGUCUGGUUCGGCCGAUUCCGGGUAAAAACCGGUUUUCGACCGGCUUAUUUUUUUAAAAAAAAUUGUUUCUUGUAAAUUUUUUUAAACAAACAUAUCUCAUUCAUUUUAAGUUGGAUUGACAUGCGAGUUUUUCCGAUGUGUAAUUUAGAGUUUGUAGAUGAUUUUAGACUAUAAUUUUGUUGUUUUUGGUGUUAUAUUUGAUGAUUUACAAUUCUUCAAAGAUAAAAUAUCAAAGUUUCAGCAAGACGUUUAAACUUUUGUAUGUGAAAUUCUUUAAACAAACGUAUCUCAUUCAUUUUAAUUCGAAUUAACAUGCGGUUUUUUCUAACGUAUAAUUUAGAGUUUGUAGAUGAUUUUAGACUAUAAUUUCGUUUUUUGGCAUUAUAUUCAAUGAGUUACAAUGAUUCAUGUGAGAUAUCAAAGCUAAAAUAUUUCAGCUUUUCAACAAAAAAUUUUAACUUUUGUAUUAUGUGAAAUUCUUUAAACAAGCAUAUCUCAUUUGUUUUAAGUCGGAUUGACAUGCAGUUUUUUCUAACGUGUAAUUCAGAGUUUGUAGAUGAUUUUAGACAAUAAUUUUGUUGUUUUCGGUGAUGUAUUUGAUGAGUUACGAUCCUUCAAAUAUGAGAUAUCAAAACUGAAACAUUUCAGCUUUUCAACAACAUAUUUAAACUUUUGUAUUCUUUGAAAUUCUUUAAACAAGCAUAUCUCAUUCGUUUUAAGUCGGAUUGACAUGUGCUUUUCUUCAAUGUGUAAUUUAAAGUUUUUAGAUAAUUUUAGACAAUAUUUUUGUUGUUUUUAGAGUUAUAUUCAAUGAGUUACAAUCCUUCAAACAAAUGAUAUAAAGUAUAAGUAAUCACAGUUUUACUAGUCCAAAUGGCACAAUAAACGAACACGUAUUUAUUUUUAUGAGUUGUACCGUAUCAAACCCAAAAAAGUAUUCAUUUUAACGAGUUGUAAUGUAUCAAACCCAACAACAUAUUCAUUUUAACGAAUUGUAUCAAACCCAAAAACGUGUUUUAACAAGUUAUACCGUAUACAUAUAAAGUUGUACCGGUCCAAACGGGUCCAAGAACCAGAAAACGUAGACCUGGACCCGGUAAGUCUCAUCCAGUCCGGUCCACGGUCCACAAUAUUCUCCGAAACCGGUCCGGUCCAGUCCAAAUGCUCACCCCGAAUUUGGAGUCCUCAAAUAGAAGUGGCAUAUAAUCAAACAUUUAGCACGAGCAUGAGAUAGGGAAAAAUUGAUGAAGGUGAUGAAAGCGUGUGUUAUUUUACAUAACAUGAUCAUAGAAGAAGAGGGUAGUGCUAUCUGUACAUAUACUCAAUCCACCUGCAAUAAUACAAGUCGGCAGUCAACAUACUUUACAUGGCUUUUGGAAAUAUAAAACAGUGAAACACAUCACAAUCUACAUCAAGAUUUGACUAAGCACAUAUGGCAACAACGAUAUGAAGACCACAAUGACGAGGAGGAGGAUGAGGACGCGGGUGAUGAGAACGAGGCCGACGGUGAGGACAACGAUGACGUAGAGUAGUAUUUUUUUAUUUCAAUGUUUUAUUAAUGUUUUUAUUAGUAAAAUGUAUGUUGAAUUUUAAAAAUAUUAUUUUUAUUUAAGUUAAUGUUCUUUUAUUUAUAAAAUAUUUAUGUAUGUUUAAUAAUUGUGUUUUUUAUUUAAUAUAAUGUCAAAAUUAAAAAAAAAAGAUAAAUAAUAUGGAAUAAUAACCAUUUCCAAGGGUUAGUGAACAUGUAAUGAAGGUGAUGUGACGCAUAGGUGACAUCACUUUUUUAGUGGACAUCUUGUGACCAUACCCCUUAGCCUUAUCCCAUCCUUAAGUGUCAACCAUAUUGUUACCUCUAUUGCAAACACAAUAUAAUCAAGAUGUGAUGGUACAUUGGUACUUGAAACACAAAUGGAACAACCAGAGGGAAGGGGAACCAUAAACCAAGAUAAAAAAAUCGAAAGCAAACCAUAAUGGUCAGGCUCAUCCUAGAAAGUGAUCUCCAAAAGAGGAGGCGUUGGCAACCGCCAACAUUGACUCUAACGAGGAUUAAAAAGAGGGAAAAGUUAAAAAUCGUAUAAAUUUAUUGGAACACCGUUGAAGAAGAAUUCUAUGAAAUCAUGGAAACCGAAGAAAAAUUCUAUGAAGUCAUGGAACCGAACGUAUCGGAUGAAACAUGAUCAAAUGAGUACAAAGUUGAAAUUUUUGAAUGUGAACAUGCCAAAGUUUUAUGGCAUCUACAACUACUUAUCUCUGAGUUAAAAAAUGGCGGAAAAAUGACAACGUGGUCUUCAAGACUCCACAGGAAUACCGAUUUGACAAAUAUGUUGUCUUUUUCGCAAAUAGAACCAUAUAAUAUCAUAUUUUCAUUUAUAAAUUAAUUUUAAUUAUUUUAAAAUAUAUAAAUUAAAUAAGAAAAAUGAAAAGUGUGGACAUGUGAGAAUGUAUGCCUUGAAAAUUGGUGCAUCUUAGGGAGAGGUUGGAAUGUAGGGAUGUAAUGCAUGUAUGUCUAUAGCUUAAUUACCUCAGACUAGAUGAAGUGGCACGAUGUCACCUCGAUAAUUGUUGAGGUGUACUUGGUGCGUAAAUAGAUUUUUUUAUAUUGUUUUUUAUUUAAUUGUUAUUUUUAUCCGUGUAAUGUUUUUUAUAAUUGAAAUAUUUCUUUUUUAUUAUAUUAAAUAUUAUAUAGAUAUUAAAUUAUAACUUUAUAUAUUUAAAUAAAAAUAAAAGAGUGAUAGUAGUGACAAUUUAGUAUUGGAAAAAAGAAGGAUAUAAAUUUUAGGGGGUAAUUUUAAAAUUUAGACACAAAAAAACAGUUUUCGGCUAUAGACAUAGGUUCCGCGGAGCUCCCCUGUACGGGCUCCGCGAAUUGACAAUAGCUCCGCGUAAUCGGGGUAUUUUCGUAAAUUUCCCCCUCAGCAUCCCUUCUCUUUUGUAAAAUUGGGCCUCUUUGGUCCCCCCUGCUCCCUCGAUCGACAUCACUCCGCAUCUCCGCAUGGAUAGCAGCCGUCGACAACAACCCCUUCUUCUCACAUCGACAACAGAUGGAUCGACAGUUCCCCAACAUUAUCGCCGAUGGAUACGACUCUCGGGUAAUCUAUUUUCAUGUUCUUUAGAUUAGUGUUUUUCUUUUUUGUAUUGUUUAAAUUUAUGAUGAAAAUGGUAUGAAUAUGAAAUUCAAAACCUGCAAGUAGGAAUAAAUGGAUUUGAAAUUUAAUUGCAAUGGCGAAGAUCCAUUCUGCAGAGGGAUAGGUCACUCCGCAAAGGGUCCUCCGUGAAGUGACCUAUACCCUCCGCGGAAUGACCUAAAAUUCCCAUUUUUCCCAUUUUUUUGCCCUUUUAUAGCAAUUAAUUUCAAAAUGACCCUUUUAAUAGAAUAAUAUAAUUGGGUAUUUAUUAAUUUUAUCAUGUAAAUUGAAAGUACGUUCCUAUUUAUUGCCUUAAUUGAAUUUAAUAAGUAAUUUUAAAACCUUGUUUUUAUUUUCAUUUACUAACGUGUGUUUUGUAGCACGAUGAUCUCGAACAAAAAGUUAAUUUAAUUUUAAAAGGCGUGGUCGGUAUAAUCAUUAAAGACUAUUUUCUACGGCUAACUCAAUCGCAACGAACAUUAUUUGAAGCUUCACCAUUUGGAAGAUUCUUAGGAAUGCAUGUCUCCAAUGGUGACCCUGUACUCGUGCAUUUGAUGAUGUUGUAUGAAGUACGGUCUCAGCAAGUGUUUGGAUCGGGGAGGUUUCUGUUUGAGAUACAGCGGGUGCAGUUGGAUUUUGGUGAAACGGAGUAUAUUUUGAUUAGUGGGUUAAGAUUUGGUCCUUAUGUCGAUUUACUCCAUGACGAAAAAGGCCGGUCAAAUUCAAAUCUUCGAGCUCGGUUGUUCCCAUAUUUUACAGAUGCAUAUUUGCGGUUCAAAGAUUUAAAAGAGUAUAUUAUGUCUCCGAAUUAUCUGCAAAUUCAGGAUGAAGAUGCGGUAAUGUUUAUCUAGCUUGUUUUUAUGUUGAAAUGUCUCCACGAACGGGACAUUAAAACGUGCAUUCCCACGGCAAUAUACAAGCUUGCAAAUAAUAUAUAUGAUUGGAACAUGUAUUACAUUUAAAAAUUGUGUAUAAAUACAAAAAUAGUUAUAAUAAAUAAAUUGAAAAUUGCAGGUUUGCAUGAGGUAUAUAAUUCUGGACCUAUACUUCGGGGUUGAUGCGUUGAAUGUUUGAGAAAAUAGAAAAAUUUAAACUAUUUAAACAGGUCAAUCCCGAAUCGACGAAAAUACACAAGUAUACCGUUCCCGGUUUUAUGCUUCCGUUCGAGGUUAGUUUGUAAUGUAAAUUUAAAUAGUUAUCAUACUUUCGUUUUUUAUACCAUAAUAGCAUUGUACUUUCGUUUGUACUAUAUAUAAUACCGUUAUACUUUCAUUUUUAUACUAUAAUAGCAUCAUAUUUCCUUUUUUUUCCAUAAAUAUGGAUUUUGGAUACGUUCCCAGAGGUAACACAAUAUUAUUUUCACAUGCCGACAGAAUUGCUACGGAUGAGGUCGUGGGGAAGAAAAACACAAUUAUUUUGAGUUCGAUGUCGUCGAAUAAUCAACGUGUCUAUAGUAUGGUUUUUUAUAUUAUAAUUAUAUAUAGUUACAAAUUCCAAUGUUUUUUCAUGUUAAACUAACAAUCUGAUUUUUGUAGCCUAACAACCAGCAUGUUGUUGUCAUGACAACCGAGAUGAAGAUCAUGGAGCCGUUUUAUAUUAGCUAUGUGAAUUGGACUCUUAACCAUGUAGAAUCUCCCCCAUAACAGGAAAGUCCACCACCUAUUGUUGCGCCGCCUCCUCGGAGAAAGAAGUACAAGGCAAAAACGUCUUCGACUGAAACGGACACAAGUGUGUCUACCUCGCACUAGCCUCGAGUAGAAAGAAGUCAUAUGUCAAACGACACAUCAACAAGAUUAGUAAAGAAGAAGAAGACGAGCACAAAGACAUUAAUGAAGCAUCUAAUAGGCGUUGUGGCUGACUUAACUUCUAAAGUAGACCGUGUAUUACAGAAAAAAGAUAAACCACAUACAAGGUUUAGUGGUGGGGAGGACAUGGUAAAUGAAGAGGAAGAAGAAACAUAUUACCAUGGCACGGGGAUUAAUUAUGAUGAUACAUUUAUGCAUAGUUUGGAUGGGGAGUUUGGGCCUGCAACUACGGGGCAAUAUGUUAAGCCGUCACUAGAGGUGGUUCAACAUCACAAAAAAACAGUCACUCCUAUUGUUAGGCUGCAGUGAACGGAGGGUCUUUCACUGUAUCAAUGGACACCGCUCACAGUGGUAUUAAUCUAAUCUAAAUUUGGUGUAUUUAUAUAAUAUUACGUUGUCGAUAAUUAAUUAACAUUUUAAUUUUUUAGAGACAAAAUUGAAAAAAUGGUCCAUGUGAUAUGCAAAUUUUGGGGUUUUAGUCCAAACCCCGAGUUUUUUGGAUUCAUGGUCCUCAUAAUCUCUUGAUAUUUCAUUAGGCCUCCAAACUUUUGAAUGAGUUUUUCCCAUAAUCUCAUGCAAUAUACUACACAUGAAAUUUUUAUUUGCGUGCUUACGAUUUGGGUGUAUUUGUAAUGACGAACAUGUGUGCACGUUGUUGAAAGUCCCGAUUUCAAAUUCGUCAGUCCGAUCAAGUCGUUUUGCAUAUAAACGACAACUACAAUUCUAAAUUUUCACAAUAUACAUUGUAACGAUUUUUGUUAGAAUGUUUGGUCUUGCUUUAAGACUCAAAACAAAUAUUAGUUGUUGUUUGUUAUCAUACGUUUGACGAACAAACAUAUCAUCAUUUGGACCUAAACUGUGAAAUGAUCCAGGUUCAAGAAUCAGAUCAGGAUAAUCAGGUAUUGGAAGCAUACCGUAAAAGAUGUCUGAAGCUUUUUUUCCGUAUGUGAACUCAUCUUCUGACCAUCCUUCAUUUGAUUCUUUAUUGUCUGACAAAUUUUUGUCAGAUAGUCUUCAAAACUCAUAUAAAUUUUCUUAUUCCCCCGUAUUUACUGCCAUAGUUUCUUCUCCUGAACACUCUUGGACAUUAUCUAAUACAAUGUUGUCAACAUUGUAUGAUACAAUCUUGUCAACUACUUCUAUGUGUUCGACCCAUCCCUCAAUUACCUCCAAAUACAAAUGCACAAUCUCCUUCGUUUUAGACAUUACGUUUCUGAGUUGAUGAACAUCUGUUUCGUUUACAAUGUUCAUAACAUACUCAUGAUCCGGGUGUUGAAAUAACAAUGAUAUAUUACUAUCGAACAUAUUACCCUUAUUUUUAACCAAAUCAAACAAUAUUUGACGGUCAAAAUUAGGCGAAAGUAGUAAACCUAAGUUGUUAAACUUUGAUCUAACGCAUGUGUUAAUUCUAUUACUCAAUUGUCAAAACUUUCCGUGCAUAAAAUAACAAAACUCGUAAUUUCUUUGAAAAAAUUUCACCCUAAAACUGAUCGUUUUUUAGAUAGAACACAAAAUUUCUUCUAAAUGACAAAAAAAUGUCAAAAAAGACCAAACAAACACAUUCGCGGAGUGGUUAACUAAUCCGUGGAGACCGCAUCAACAUGCUCUACGGAGGGUUUAAUAAUAUGUUGAACCAAACACUCCCGGAGGGUUUAAUAUGUCCACGAAGCUCUCUGCGGUCCGUACGAAACGUCUAAAAUGGUAUAAAAUUGAUCAUUUUAUGGUGAUUUAUGAUUCCAUGGAGCCUGUAGAGCACCCUUCCGUAGAAAGCAUGUCUGAAAUUUUGUUUUUUUUUUUUUACUAAAUUUUGAAAUCCAAAAAAAAAUGUGUCACACGAGUACGUCUCUACCAGCGAGUCAGCACGCCUCGUUCAAUUAUUAUGCACGCCGUUUAAAAGAAAAUAUUAUAUUUUCUUCGUCUUCCCCAAUUCUUUCAAAUGUUAGGGUUUUAACUCCCGCCUGGUGCUUCAAUUUCAGUUGAAAUUUACCUAAGAAACGACAUAUUCAGGUCAGUUCAUGAUCAAAUUCAACAACCUGAUUAUAUUAUUAUGUCUUGCGCUUUAGAUGCUGUUAAAAGACAGUCCGUCACUGUUCUCUUCCUGACCAGAAAUACAAUUUUUUUCAGAUCGGAACUCGUUCGUUCUCUUUGAUUCACUCAUGAGUUGAUUUAGAUUGCUGUUCUGUUCUUUGAUUUUUUCAAUAAACCGCCGUCAAAUCAUAAUGUAUUUGGAUCCUAAUACCAAUUUAACAUCAACAUUUCUCAUAGCUUACAUUGUUUUUCUUUUUAAGUGCUCGUCAAUCCUGAACUUGAAAUUAGUAGAUUAAACCUCAAAUAAAAAUGUACCUCCUAUGUUUGAAUGAUGUGAGCAUUUGGCUUACUGAUCUAAUCUCUUUCUCCCAAAGAGUAAGAACAUUUCAGCUAAAAUUUUUGUCUUAAGGAUCCAGUUUACCAUCUGUCUCUUUAUAGGACUUAGGUGUUGUUUCUUUUUGACUUAAUGGACUUAAUAGGAAUCAAACUUAAUAGAUUCAGAUAUAUACAGAAUCGUUUCUUUUUUACUUAAUAUACAGAACAUGUCUGAACAGGCUAAGUGAAGAUAUGGACACUUUAUAUAUUUAGAUCCUCAUUUCCCAGUUAUACCCUUUUUAUUACUUCCUAAGCCUCACUACGUCUCCUUUUUUUUUUUUUUUUUUUUUUUUUCCUGCUGCAGCAAACUACUUCUAAUCUUCUAUAUAGAUAGGAGUUAUUAAAUUAAUGAAAAUCCAAUCUACACGUGAUCAUGAUAAUAAGUGAUGUUAUUCAAAGUUUUUCCAAAUAUGAAACUAUUUGUUUAAAUACUUAAGUUAAAAGGAGAACUAGGAAAAAUAUAAUUCAUGAUUUUAGUAUCAAAUAUUUUUAUCGUUCAUAUAUUUAGAACUAUAUAUUAAUUAUUUAGCUGAUAGUCAUUUUACUAUAAGAUAAAUAUUAUGUAUGAGGGUAUAAUGGACAUUUAUUCAUAUCCAGACAGUUUUUUGAUUUCAGAAAAGAAACAAGCUUACUGUAUACAAUCAGAUAUCAUUAUAAAUUCAGUCACGUUAUCCAUUCAGGCCUUAAUAUAUAUAAAAAUAGAAACAACCCCUUACAUGUCUUCCUUGAGUUACAACAAACUGUUGAUUUCUGAUUGUAUGAUUACUGUCUGCUUGUAUUCGCCACUGCUACAUAUUAUAGUUUUCUGAACAUUUUACAUUUGAGUACUUUGGUUGCCCAGUGUUCAAUAUGGAGAGCCGAGACAGAAGCAGAAGUCCUGGUUUAGCCGAGUGAUUCAGAAGCAAAGCCCUGUCUUCUUAACCUGAUGCACCUAAUUUCUCUCUUCAACAGUUGGGAUAUUUAACUGUCUUCUCUCUCGUGUGUUCAUCCCAUUCAUUCUAAAAUCCAAUUAUGGUGAUGACCAGGACAGGACCUUCUUUCCAAGAAGUCGCACUGCGUGUGGGUUCCUGCAAUCUCAAGGCAGACCUUGACCUGGGAAAGUUUGACCCUACUCUCCAUAUAAUGAUUGAGUUUCUAAAAAGUCACCCUAUUCACAAACCUUUGACUAAAUCAAUCGAGUUUCCUUUAAGCAUCAUUCAUACAGCAUACUCCAGUGCCAUUUAUGACUCUGAUGAAGAAUACAUCGAGUUCGACAUCAAUAAAGAUAACACUAUCAAACUCUGGAAGGCUGAGUUCCUAGAGGCCAUUGGGCUUCCAGAGAGAAAGGAAAAAAAGACAUUCUAUGAACCCACAAAUGAAGAACUUUUUGACGUAUUGGAUCAAAUGGGGUAUUUACCUCCAAGGCUUGAAAUGACCCCAGACUUCAAGAAAGGUAAGCUUCCAGGCAUUUGGCAUUUUUUGGUGCACAUCAUUGUACGUUGUCUCACAGGAAAGGUUGGAGGAACUAGCACACUAAGUAGGGCUUUUCUUGUACUUCUUUUUGGUAUUUACACUGGGAAGGAAGUCGACUUUGGAACCAUUAUCUGGAAGGAUUUUGCUGGUUGUGUGUUUCCAAGGAAGAAGGAAAUUCCUUGUGCAAGGUUUUGGGCACUUGCACUCCAAAAAGUGUAUACCAAACUGGAUGUCUCAUUACCUGAAGGAGAAGAGAUGUUCACUACUGGUACUGUAUCCCGAUAUGCUAUUCCAGAUCAAGCUGAAUUCGGGAAGGUUGCUCGUCUCCCUGAAGCAAUGCUUCAAUAUAUUGAAAAGAACUCUGAAGUUCUCAUUAGACAUAUAAAGGAAACAGAUCCUCUAGAAACUGGACACCCUAUCCAAUCCUCACAACCAGUUAGGCCUACUGAGGGACAUACUUCAAGUCCUGCACGUAAAAAACAAAUUGCUUUGAAUGUAAAGAAGACUACUGGUCUUGGAACCAAAAGAAAAUGUGAGACCCUUCCUGCCCCUCAAGCCAAAAGACCUACAAUCGGGUCACAGUCAUCUACCUCUCAUGUCUCUUUAUCCUCUGAAGAAGAUGAUGUCUCACAAAAAAAUGGGGAUAUAGCACAUACACCACCCCCUUCCUCUCAAAAGCAGACCCCAGGGAUACACUCACAUAUCAAUCUUGAGGCUACAGAGACAAGUCCUUCUUUCCACACUACCCGACUUGAGAAGAACUUAUGGGGAUCUCCUGGACAUAAUACUAAAGAUCAAGGAUCCCAAGGAAGAGUUUUUGAGCCUAUGCUGAAAUCAAGCUCAAUCCCAGGCAAAGAGUCUUGUUCUAUGGCACACCGACCCUUGCAAACAGGAUUCUUUGGAAUUUCCAUUGGUGAGGCGGAGGUGAGAGCAUCAGAGAGUGAGAGUGUAAGGCAAGCAAGAGAUGAACAAGAGAGGCAAAAAAGAGAGGAGAUAUUGAGAGCUGAGCAAGAGAGAUUUUCUCAGAUAUACUACAAUAAUAUAUACCUGUAUGAGCAAAUGCUAAGAGAGCAGAAAAUAAGAGACGAGAUGGAAAAGGAAGAAUCGAAGAAAGUGAAAGCUGUGAAACAUGCAGAAUAUAGAAAGAAAAGAAAAGAGGUUUUAAUGGAGAAUAAGAGGAAAGAGGAAGAGCUAAAAGCUAAGAUGCAGAGAGAGCAAGAGGAAAGAGAGAAAACUGAAGCUCUAAGAGAGGCUGAGGCAAAGAAAGAAGAGGAGCGAAAGGAAUUAGUGAGAAUGUUGCGUGAGGAGCAACAAAAGAGGGAAGAGGAAGAGUGGGCCCAGACUUCUGCCAAACUUCUUGAGCAGGCCAUGUCUUUGGAGCCAUCCACAAAGACUGGUAUGGAGUCUGCUCAAGACAUGGAAAAGGACUUUGUGUUUACUGCUGAUGAUGGACUCAUCCAAGACUCUGAUUCAAACUCCAUUAUGGAGACACUCAAACCCUCCAAAUCUACUAUUUUCUUGGCAACUUCAGAAACAGAAAGUCAGGAAGCUCCCAAAGGAGAGACAAAGACAUUUCCUACCACCACUGUGGAGACAUCCAAACCUCGCAGACGCACUAAAUGGAAGAAGAAGAAGAAAUCCAAAUAUAUCUCUAGGGUGGAGUUUAAUUCCCUCAACCAGAAGUUGUCUCAGGUUCUAGAGGUGGUAAACAAGAUCCCUCCAUCUAAGGAGAAAUUUGUGACCAAGGAAGAGUUUGGGGAAAUGCAGAAGAUUGUGACAUCCUUAGCCCAAAGUGUUCCUAAUCUUGAGACAAGGGAAAAGAUGCUUCGGGAAUCAUUUGUCAAAUCUACUGCAGAUGCUCUGAAGAAAAUGGAGCAGAAGAGGACCAAUGACACAUUUAAGUAUUUGGAUCGAAUGGAUGAUAUGUUGAAAAUGGUUAAGGAAAUUCAACAGUCCUUUGAUGAUCUCACCAACACCAUGGGCCACCAACAUGGGGAUGAGAUUGUCCGUUUAAAUGAGCAGCUUUGUGAUUAUCGCAACAAAAAUAUAAUUCUUCAGGCUGUUUUGGUUAAAGUAAUACAGUCUGCACAACAACUGCUAAGACCCUGCAACAUAAGAUUUGAUGAAAUCCUCUUUGCCAUCCAGAAAGUUCAAAAUUCUGUGGAUGUCCUUCCAAAGACUCUGUCCAAUGAUGAGCUAAGCAAACAGGUUCCACAAUCGUUCCAAAAAGUGUUUGACCUGAUAGAGAACUUAAAAGGUUCAAGGUUUGUAGAUGAAGCUGGAGAAGAUGAAAACGUGUUGAUAACAGAAACUUCUCCUUCUCCCGAGAUAGAUGUGGUAUCCAAACCUCAAUCACCUCCUCCACCUCUAAAGACCACAAUCCCUCCCACUGAAUGUGAGAUUCACGAAUCACCAAAAAUUCCAUCUCCUCCCACAUCAUUUGUCAUGCCUCCUGCCCAAAUCAUGCCAGAGUUCCCUGAAACCCCCAAAGCUCCCAUCAAUGAUAAAGGCAAAAUGCCUUUGGAGAUUUCUGAAUUGAGUCUGAUGAAAACCUUUCCAGUGUGUGAGAAAGAGAUGAAGCAACAGGUGAAGGAACACGCUUUAACUCUGUGGGUCAAUGACAUCAAACAAUUAAGGGAUGAUGAACUUGUGCCCAAACAAACUACAGCUCCUCCCUCUUCAGACAAGUAUCAGUGGGAUAUACCCAUGUCUCCAAAUGCACGAUAUUAUUCAGUCUUCCAACAACUACAUCCACAUCUCUCAAGGGAAAUGCAAAUCCCAAUUGAGAUGAACCGACUAGAGGAGUUUUUCAAGGCUCAUGCUCAGCCCCCAAAAGAUGUAUGGUCUCUCCGGAGGAUCAUAAGAGUCUUAGGAUAUAAGAAGAGGUCUUUUCAGAAGGAAGAGUACUUUGGUUUUGAAGUGGUGCGAAGCGAUAACAAAAAAUAUUUCUUCUCUGAAGCCGAUUUUCCUAACCUCAAUCCUAAUGACCUAUAUGUGAUUGCCAAACACUUCCAGACCAAACUCCUCACUCAUCAACCUUCACGAUUUCCCUUUCUCCAAAUCCAGAGAUUUCUAAGGUCUCUGACCUAUGAUCUUGGCAGCAUUGAUGCAGAACGAUUUGAUAGCUUCGUGGAUAAUCCACCCGGAGAGAUGAACCAAGAGCUGGAAGGAAUUGAAAACAGACAUCGAGGACCUACCGAGGAUCCUGAACUUGGGAUCAUCUUCUCUAAUGAAAAGGGUAGUCCGAGGCUCUUUUUCCGAUUAAAACAGAAGCAUCUCUGCAAAACGGAGUUCCUUGAAAAGAUGAUCAAUCUUACUUUAAGGUCCAAUGCCUCU
rnacentral:lncRNA from 1 species